GUGGUCUGAACUCUGUAUUACCUCGAAGGUGUCGCUGCUUUCUUGACCUAUGUCGAGAGCCUUCUUAGAGGCCGGGGAUGUUUGGUAAGAACUUCCCAUCUUUGUCGAGGUGAGGCUCCUUAGAUCUUUGGUGCGGUUUAUUUUUCGUCUGUUGCCGACGUUAUUCGCCACUUUCCUUUUUAGUUUUUCUCCUCUCUUCAAGUGAGGAUCCUCCCCUUGCUUUUUGAGGGGUCAUGUAGAAGUAUUG
rnacentral:lncRNA from 1 species